CCUACGGGGAGCAGCAGUGAGGAAUAUUGGUCAAUGGACGCAAGUCUGAACCAGCCAUGCCGCGUGCAGGAAGACGGCUCUAUGAGUUGUAAACUGCUUUUGUACGAGGGUAAACGCAGAUACGCGUAUCUGUCUGAAAGUAUCGUACGAAUAAGGAUCGGCUAACUCCGUGCCAGCAGCCGCGGUAAUACGGAGGAUUCAAGCGUUAUCCGGAUUUAUUGGGUUUAAAGGGUGCGUAGGCGGUCGGAUAAGUUAGAGGUGAAAUCCCGAGGCUCAACUUCGGAAUUGCCUCUGAUACUGUUCGGCGAGAGAGUAGUGGCGGUAGGCGGAAUGUAUGGUGUAGCGGUGAAAUGCUUAGAGAUCAUACAGAACACCGAUUGCGAAGGCAGCUUACCAAGCUACUUCUGACGUUGAGGCACGAAAGCGUGGGGAGCAAACAGGAUUAGAUACCCGGGUAGUC
rnacentral:rRNA from 1 species